AUUAAGAGUGUAGCUGUCAAACGCGCACGUGGAAAAAAACAACACAAACAAAGAUCAACAAAACAACAUCAACGUACAAAAACAAUCAACGCAAGAAAACGUUUAGGCGGUAAGAUUCGCCAUCGCGCAUUAAAUCAACAGUGCCCGCAUUCGUUUGAUGUCCCAGAGCUUUAGUCAUCGAAUAAGGAGGAUAUUCCGGAGCUACUUGAUGAAAAGCUCAGCAGGCGACGGAUUGAGUGAGACGAGGCAACAACCGACCGAGCCAGCUCCUACAGGUGACAAUCCCAGCGGAAACAACGGUUGAAGUUAGCGUUGAGAAGGUGGAGAAAGAAAUUGAACACGAAAGAACAAUCG